CGGAGCCCGCGUCCUGCCGCAGUCCAUCCGCCGCUAGUCGGAGAGAGUGGUUGCGGGGAGACCCGGGCCACUCCGCCAGCUGUUACUGCUACUGCCGCUGCCCCCCGCAGUCGCAGCCCAGCAGCCGGGAAACGCCACCCACAGAUUGGGCCGCGCAGCGUGGGAGGGGUAGCGGUCCCGGGGGACUGAUUCUGAACUUGCAGGGGGACCGCGGCUCUCCGGGCCUGGAGAGUGUGAACAGAACUGCGGGUUUACAAUGCUAUGGUGACUCCAAAGGCCAAAACCAAAGAGAUCUUCUCAGCUCUUUAGUUUGAACUAAAGUGAAUUGUCUACCAACACCCGGCAUGGCGAAAAGUGCAGAGGUCAAAUUGGCAGUAUUUGGGAGAGCAGGCGUGGGCAAGUCAGCUUGUAAUAAUGAUCUGGAUAUCUAUGCAGUCCUGAUAAAUUAGGCCCAUAACAUCAUCUGGCAUGCAUGGGU
rnacentral:lncRNA from 1 species